AUACGUAGGGUACGAGCGUUGUCCGGAAUUACUGGGCGUAAAGGGCGCGCAGGCGGAUAUUUAAGUCAGCUGUAAAAGGCAUGAGCUCAACUCAUGUAUGCGGUUGAAACUGGGUAUCUAGAGUGCUGGAGAGGUAGGCGGAAUUCCCGGUGUAGCAGUGAAAUGCGUAGAUAUCGGGAAGAACACCAGUGGCGAAGGCGGCUUACUGGCCAGCAACUGACGCUGAGGCGCGAAAGCCAGGGGAGCGAACGGGAUUAGAUACCCCGGUAGUCCUGGCCGUAAACGAUGAAUGCUAGGUGUGGGUGUCGAGAGGCAUCCGUGCCGGAGUUAACGCGAUAAGCAUUCCGCCUGGGGAGUACGAUCGCAAGAUUGAAACUCAAAUGAAUUGACGGGG
rnacentral:rRNA from 1 species